GAUGAAGAACGUAGCGAAAUGCGAUAAGUAAUGUGAAUUGCAGAAUUCCGUGAAUCAUCGAAUCUUUGAACGCACAUUGCGCCCCUUGGUAUUCCAUGGGGCAUGCCUGUUCGAGCGUCAUUUGUACCUUCAAGCCUUGCUUGGUGUUGGGUGUUUGUCUCGCCUCUGCGCGCAGACUCGCCUCAAAACAAUUGGCAGCCGGCGUAUUGAUUUCGGAGCGCAGUACAUCUCGCGCUUUGCACUCACAACGGCGGCGUCCAAAAGUACAUUUUUACACUCUUGACCUCGGAUCAGGUAGGGAUACCCGCUGAACUUAAGCAUAUCAAUAAGCGGAGGA
rnacentral:misc_RNA from 1 species